rnacentral:tRNA from 1 species
GGCUUCACAGCUCAGUUAGUCGAGCAUCACACCGGUGUCGCGGAGGUCACGGGUUCAAAUCCCGUUGAAGCUC